UCGAACGAAGUAGCAAUACUUAGUGGCAGACGGGUGAGUAACAUGUGGGUAUCUACCCUUUGGCCUGGAAUAACACGAGGAAACUUGUGCUAAUACCGGAUAAGUCUUUACGGAGAAAGCUUUAUGCACCAUUGGAUGAGCCCGCACUUGAUUAGUUUGUUGGUAGGGUAAUGGCCUACCAAGACUAUGAUCAAUAGCUGAUUUGAGAGGAUGAUCAGCCACAUUGGGACUGAGACACGGCCCAAACUCCUACGGGAGGCAGCAGUGGGGAAUCUUGCACAAUGGAGGAAACUCUGAUGCAGCGAUGCCGCGUGAGUGAAGAAGGCCUUUGGGUUGUAAAGCUCUUUCGUCGGGGAAGAAAAUGACUGUACCCGAAUAAGAAGGUCCGGCUAACUUCGUGCCAGCAGCCGCGGUAAUACGAAGGGACCUAGCGUAGUUCGGAAUUACUGGGCUUAAAGAGUUCGUAGGUGGUUGAAAAAGUUGGUGGUGAAAUCCCAGAGCUUAACUCUGGAACUGCCAUCAAAACUUUUCAGCUAGAGUAUGAUAGAGGAAAGCAGAAUUUCUAGUGUAGAGGUGAAAUUCGUAGAUAUUAGAAAGAAUACCAAUUGCGAAGGCAGCUUUCUGGAUCAUUACUGACACUGAGGAACGAAAGCAUGGGUAGCGAAGAGGAUUAGAUACCCUCGUAGUCCAUGCCGUAAACGAUGUGUGUUAGACGUUGGAAAUUUAUUUUCAGUGUCGCAGGGAAACCGAUAAACACACCGCCUGGGGAGUACGACCGCAAGGUUAAAACUCAAAUGAAUUGACGGGGACCCGCACAAGUAGUGGAGCAUGUGGUUUAAUUCGAAGAUACGCGCAGAACCUUACCAACACUUGACAUGUUCGUCGCGACUCUAAGAGAUUAGAGU
rnacentral:rRNA from 1 species